GAUGAACGCUGGCGGCGUGCCUAAUACAUGCAAGUCGAGCGGUAAGGCCUCUUCGGAGGUACACGAGCGGCGGACGGCUGAGUAACACGUAGGAACAUACCCCGAAGUGAGGGAUAAGCACCGGAAACGGUGUCUAAUACCGCAUGUGGCCCAAGGGCUAAAGCUCCGGCGCUUCGGGAAUGGCCUGCGUCUGAUUAGUUUGUUGGUGAGGUAAUGGCUCACCAAGACUACGAUCAGUAGCUGGUCUGAGAGGAUGAUCAGCCAGACUGGGACUGAGACACGGCCCAGACUCCUACGGGAGGCAGCAGUAGGGAAUUUUCCACAAUGGGCGAAAGCCUGAUGGAGCAACGCCGCGUGCAGGAUGAAUGCCUUCGGGUUGUAAACUGCUUUUAUAUGUGACGAAUAUGACGGUAGCAUAUGAAUAAGGAUCGGCUAACUCCGUGCCAGCAGCCGCGGUAACAC
rnacentral:rRNA from 1 species